rnacentral:rRNA from 1 species
AUGAACGCUGGCGGCGUGGAUAAGGCAUGCAAGUCGAACGAACGUAGCAAUACGUUAGUGGCGAACGAGUCAGUAAUACCCUGGUACAUACCACGAAGAUGGGGAUAGCUCAUCGAAAGGUGAGGUAAUACCCGAUAGUCUCGAAAGAGUAAAGUCGCAAGACGCUUUGUGAUUGGCCUAGGUCCGAUCAGCUAGUUGGUGAGGUAAUGGCUCACCAAGGCUAUGACCGGUAGGGGGGGUGAGAGCCCGUUCCCCGACGACGGAACUGAGACACGGUCCGUACUCCUACGGGAGGCAGCAGUCGAGAAUAUUCGACAAUGGGCGAAAGCCUGAUCGAGCGACGCCGCGUGCAGGAAGAAGGCCUUCGGGUCGUAAACUGCUUUUCUAUGGGAAGAACUACGGUGACGGUACCAUAGGAAUAAGGGGUUGCAAACUUCGU